GAGGACAACUUGGUCUACAGAGUGAGUUCAAGGAGAGCCAGGACUAUACACAGAAGAAACAAAACAACAGCAAAAAACCAAGAGCAAUCACAUCCGUUAAAACCUAUAUUUAAAUGGUUGUGAAAGGUAAAUAAACCCUAACCCUUAUUUUUACUGUGUAUACUUAUUAUUGGCUUGAACUUCCUGUGUCAGGGAAAUAGGGACCUUUGUUCUAAUGUCUGUUCACAUGGAUCCGUGUGUCACAUGGAUCAGUGCGUGUGUGUGUGUGUGUGUGUGUGUGUGUGUGUGUGUGUGUGUGUGAUAGCUGUCAGGCAUUGGGACAUAACGGUUCUAGAAUGAUUUAAAAGAACAGAACAGAAACAGUGUAUCAAUUUCUGUUCUAUUUCUGAGAUCCGACUUCUUUUCAGUGUCACUGCAGGGUUGCCUCCAUUUCUCUGUGGCUUAGAAUUAGACCCCUGUGCCUAUUAGCUGCAAAUGUACCCGCAUUGUUGGUUGUCUAAGUGGUAUCUAAGUGGUAGCUUUUCUCCUCCAUUGUCAGGAAUAGCAGCCUGGAGCUCCUGGCUUCAUACCUCUGAGCUCCUACCAUAGGCAAGAAACUGGUUUAUUGAGUGUGAAGAUUUCGAUUCAGAGGUUGGUUGAUAACAGAGUGGAAGAAACAGGCUUAGGCUCAGGGGAUGAUAAAAACUCAGAUUUUUGUUUUUUGUUUUUCUUAUUUUCUAAAAUAAAUAAAUCUUUAAAAACUUCAAAGCAACACGAGAACAAAGAGGAAAACACACAAAGGUGCAGCCGGUCCAUCUUUUCCUCAUUUAGCAGACACUUGCUGAGUCUGACCCAGCUAUGAAACGGUGAAGCAAUGGUGAAUCAACUUAUGGUGCUCUCCCAUACACAUCACAGCAGGACGUGGGCAGGCACACAAUUUUUGUUUUAAGCAAAGAAAUAUUGAACAUUUACCAAGUGAAAUACUACAUUGUUAUUUUUUUAAAUAUCUUAAGAAAUGAUUAUAUGAAUUUUUUAAUCAGUUUAAAACAUCUAUUUGGAGCAUUAAACAUGAUAGAAGUAGGAAAAAACCUCUCUUAUGAAGUCCUCUAUGAAGGGAAAUUGUGACACGUUCCUGAUUAGACAGAAGCCGUUCCAGUUCCAAGGGCGAAGACCCAGCGUAACUGUGGCUUCACAGAAUGAAUUGGGUAGUGUUCCUUCUGUCUCUAUUUUGUGGAAUAGUUCUUUGAAGGUCUGAGAGAAUUCUUCACUAAACCCAUCUGGUCCUGAGCUUUUUUUUUUUUUUUUUUUUUGGUUGGGAGACUUUCAGUGACUGCUUCUAUCUCUUUAGGGGUUAUGGGACUGUUUAGAUGGCUUAUCUGAUCCUGAUUUAACUUUGGUAUUUGGUAUCUGUCUAGAAAAUUCUCCAUUUCAUCCAUAUUUUCCAGUUUUGUUGAAUAUAGGCUUUUGUAGUAGGAUCUGAUGAUUUUUUAAUUUCCUCUGUUUCUGUUGUUAUAUCUCCCUUUUCAUUUCUGAUUUUGUUAGUACUUUGGAUACUGCCUCUGCCCUCUGGUUAGUCUGGCUAAGGGUUUAUCUAUCUUGUUGAUUUUCUCAAAGAACCAGCUCCUGGUUUUGUUGAUUCUUUGUAUAGUUCUUUUUGUUUCUACUUGGUUGAUUUCAACCCUGAGUUUGAUUAUUUCCUGCCCUCUAUUCCUCUUGGCUGAAUUUGCUUCCUUUUGUUCUAGAGCUUUUAGGUGUGUUGUCAAGCUGCUAGUGUGUGCUCUCUCCGGUUUCUUUUUGGAGGCACUCAGACCUAUGAAAACUCAGAUUUUUGAAUGUUGGGUUUGAAAUGUCUACAAGAUUUCCUAAAGAACACCUGUCAUAGGUGGAUAAAUCUGGAUUUGGGAACCAUUUGUACAACGAUGUUAUUAAACCCAUGGUCUGGAUUAGGCGGCUCAGGAAGUGAACGCAUAGGUGACCUGGGAAGUGAAGGAGAACACUGAGGCUGAACCUUGGGUCUGUUUGGGAAGAGGGUUGUUGCCUCCGGGUGCGCUUCCAGUGUGUCGUGAAGGCUUCUCUGUGCACGGUGAACUUUCACUUAGCUGACGUGUAAAGGAAUCCUUGUAAGAAGCUGCAGAGUUCAGCCAGUCACAGCAGCUGAGCUCCAGGAAGCCACAGGCGGCCAGUUUUCCAGAUCAACUGCAAACAAGAUGCUUGGCUAGCAAGUGAAAUGCUUGUUCUAGUCCCCGAUUACAGUCACCCAUUAAAUGAAGCAUCUAGGUGGCAUAUGCUGGCUAAGCUGGAAGAAAGCCUAUCUUAAUCCCAGCUAAGACGAUUUCGAAUUUGAAACCGUGCCUCUGAUGGGAACUUCAGUUAAUUUUGCAAUCCCUUGCUCACGAUAUGUACCAGUUAAGAUGUGGGAAUCAACCAAGUGUUCAACAGUGAUUGGACAGAUAAUCAAAAUGCAGCCUCUGGGAACCGGGUGUUACUUCUAAGCCGAAAAACAAGAGGAAGCUUUGAUACUUGUGAAAAAGGGAAGGAGGAUGUGGGAUCACACUCCUGAAAUCCCAGCGUUUGGGAGUCUGAUGCAGGGUGUUGGUGGAUUUGGAAGGCACCCUGGACAACUGUGGUCAAGGCUAAUCCAAGCUCGGCAGUGAAGCCCGAUUUCAAAAACCAACCAACCAACCAAGGUUUGAGGGUGAAGCACCGUGGUGACGCCAGGAUACUGCUCAGUCUCUGGGCUCGAUCCCCAAUCUCCUGACCACAAAAGCAACUGAAAGUUUGGGACCCUUUCCCCCGAAGCAAGAGUGGUCCAGAGACUACUUCUGGUUCCCUAGAUCAGCACACUGACUAGUUCUGUUUAAUGCAAUUAAAAGUAAUUACAGAUGCCAAGUUUCCUCAGUCUGCAUCUCCUAAGGACUGGGCUACCUUUCCUACAACCACCAGAUCAUCGCCACACCUUAGAAACUUAAUAGUCCUAAUAUACCUGAUAAACCAUCUUGACUUGGGUUUAGAGAUUCUCAAUUUUCCCUAGGAUGAGCUUUUAGCUUUUUUUUUUUUAAGUUAAAAGAAUGUAGAGUUCUAUCAAGGUUCAUCUCUCUCUCUCUCUCUCUCUCUCUCUCUCUCACACACACACACACACACACACCUGCACACAUGCACACAUGCACACAUAGGGACAUUUUUGGUGGCUCCUUUUUCUGUUCACAUCCCAAGAGAGUACUUUCUUUUUGGGAAGUACCUAUUUCACACUAUGGAUUGUUUUGCAGAAUCUAGGACUAACAUCUGUAUAAUCAAGAUUUGUGUAAAUUUAUUAUCAUUAUUAUUAUUUAAAGACAAGAUGUGGGUAGAUGCUGAGUUGGUGGGGCAGAAUGUAUUCUCCAACUCUGAAUGUCCCGAUCUUUAGCAAAAUCCUCCCCUUUGGCCUUGUUUCCCACUGCCUUUGGAGAGUACCCAGGGCCAAGACCAUUUCCUGGCAGU